AGUGAAGCGGCAAUAGCUCAAAUUUGAAAUCUGGCCUCGGCCCGAGUUGUAAUUUGCAGAGGAUGUUUCUGGCGCGGUGCCUUCCGAGUUCCCUGGAACGGGACGCCACAGAGGGUGAGAGCCCCGUAUGGUUGGACACUAAGCCUGUGUGAAACUCCUUCGACGAGUCGAGUAGUUUGGGAAUGCUGCUCAAAAUGGGAGGUAAAUCUCUUCUAAAGCUAAAUACCGGCCAGAGACCGAUAGCGCACAAGUAGAGUGAUCGAAAGAUGAAAAGCACCUUGAAAAGGGGGUUAAACAGUACGUGAAAUUGUUGAAAGGGAAGCGCUUGUGACCAGACUUGCGCCGGGCGGCUCAUCCGGGGUUCUCCCCGGUGCACUCCGCCCGGCUCAGGCCAGCAUCGGUUCUCGUUGGGGGAUAAGAACGGCAGGAACGUGGCCCUCCUUCGGGUGGGUGUUAUAGCCUGCCGUACGAUACCCUGACGGGGACCGAGGUUCGCGCUCCGCAAGGAUGCUGGCGUAAUGGUCAUCAGCGACCCGUCUUGAAACACGGACCAAGGAGUCGUCCAUUAGAGCGAGCGUUUGGGUGUCAAACCCGCACGCGUAAUGAAAGUGAAAUUAGGUGAGAGCUUCGGCGCAUCAUCGACCGAUCCUGAUGUUCUCGGAUGGAUUUGAGUAAGAGUUUUAACGGACGGACCCGAAAGACAGUGAACUAUGCUUGUAUAGGGUGAAGCCAGAGGAAACUCUGGUGGAGGCUCGCAGCGGUUCUGACGUGCAAAUUGAUCGU
rnacentral:rRNA from 1 species